GAAAGAUUUUUCGGUUUGGGAUGGGCUCGCGGCCUAUCAGCUUGUUGGUGAGGUAAUGGCUCACCAAGGCGACGACGGGUAGCCGGCCUGAGAGGGUGACCGGCCACACUGGGACUGAGACACGGCCCAGACUCCUACGGGAGGCAGCAGUGGGGAAUAUUGCACAAUGGGCGGAAGCCUGAUGCAGCGACGCCGCGUGAGGGAUGACGGCCUUCGGGUUGUAAACCUCU
rnacentral:rRNA from 1 species